UACCACAAAAGAGAAUUUUUAUAUCCUUUUUGUUUACAGACUGCUUAGUUUCUGGUUUUGAUGACUGCUGAAACAAGGUUCCUCAUGUACAUCACUCCCUGGUUUGAAGCCAUGUGGUUGUUCCAACAUUCUCUGUCCUGUAAACAUCUCUUAGAACAUGGCACACCACUUUAUCUGUCUCUUGUUAAGUAGAGAAUGUGAUUGUUAUUAUGCGUGGAGUUGUUAAAUCAGUCUGCUGUCUCCAGACUUCACCAAGGAUCAGGCAGUUUCACCAGGAUGCCAUCUCCUUCCUCUGGUGUGCGCUGCUCGGCAAGUGCACUUCAGGCAGUGAUGUCCUGGGGACCUGAGGGCCCUCAUAGCAGAGGCAGGGAGGAAAUUUGUGGAAGACCUAAUGUCUAUCUUGCAGUUAUUGUGGGUAGUAAUAGGGACAGAGUGUAUUAAAACAUCCCACUAGUAUUGCAGCUGGUGUGAAUUGGUGUUUCUUCACUGAUCGUGAUAGUUCCACGGUGGGAGAGACUGGUUUGUUGGCAGCACCCUGUAGAAGACCUUAGAGCAGGUGGGACCACCUGAGCACAGAUAAUGCUGGAACAGGACUGAGGAGGGUGUGUCAUCUUGGUGGCAGUGCCUUUGGCACAGUGGAUGGUAAGUGGUGAGUAGUAGUUGUUUUACAAAGCCAGGGAAUAGGUGUAUACCAGUGAUGUAGCUCAUGUGGGGGUCAUCACCAAACCCAAGCAGAAGAUUCUACUGCUUGUGUAAGAGGACGAAGCAAAGGGCACAUGAAGGGAAAAGAGAGUUCACUUUUUAGGAUGCCUGCCUUGUUAAAUUUCCACAGACACACACACACAGAGAUUUCUUGGUCUGCUCAAGAGAGGCUUCCCUUUCCAUUUCUCAGCUCUUUGGUGUGUGUCCCAAGACAGGCAACAGCCACACUGUGUAUUUGUCUGCUGCUGCUGCCUGAACUUCUGGUGUCAUCAUCCCCACAGAUGUAUUCACCUCUCCUUGAGAGAAAGGCAGAGUGAUACAGACCAUGGACCAGCAUGUGUUUCUCAUGGUGGAAACAAGAUUGGGACCCAUCUGUCUCUUGUGAUCACAGCACAUCUAUGAUCAGACCUUUGCCUCCAAAGUGUUAGGCAGAACCUGCGUGAAGUGCCUGUCACAUGGAGCUGCUUGAGGCUCACCUCCUCCUGGGUCUGGGCAUCUUUCUUCCAGGCUAGUAACGAACAAAGGAGGGAUUCUCUCCAUCUUCUGGUCUGCUGUGUUACCCAACACCUGUGCAUCUUUAAUUGACUUGGAUAAAAAGCAGAAGGUGAUCGAUUCAUCUCAUGGUCUUAAUGGUGAAUACGGAUGUCUUUCAACUUGCUACUGUCCUUGAUCAAAGCUGGAUACAAAGUAGCAAAAUCUCUGAACUCUACCAUAGCUCCUCUGAUCCAUCCAGUGGCUUUUCCUCUAUUGUCUUCAUCUGGAGUUGGUGAAUGCUCCCUGUGUAGGAGAACCCCUGCCAGAGUUCUCUCCCCAUCCAUAUGCAUGGUGCUCUCCCAGGAAUGCUAGAAGGGAGGCUGUGGAAAGCAAUGCUAUGUGAUCUGGUGUGGAGCAUCGCAAGCUAAAUGAAACUUUUCUCCUCCCCCGGGACACUCAUAUGCUCUGAACAGCAGCAGCAACAGUGUGAGGAUAACCCCAGUGUGGGCAGGGGGCUGACUCAUUUCUCCAGAAGAUCAACGCUGUUUAUUAAUCACUGCUCCUUUGAAGUGAAAAAAUGGAGAAAACCUCUCAUGGCCAAUGUUGUGAUUAACCAUCUAAUUGUUCUACUGUCCCUGUGUCCAUCUUCACUGUAGGCAGAAGAAUGGCAGCUCUUCAGAGUGAAGUCCUCUGCUAGUUCUAAAACAUGCAGGGAGUUAAUUCAUGGAAUGGAACCAAUUCCUUGUCCCUUCCAACUGACCCUCCAGUCAUUUUUCAUCAUGGGAGAUGGUCCCACAAGUGAUGGAGAAUGUCUCAAUAUCCUUUUCUGGGAGAAGACCCAUCAGACUGGGCUGCAAGGGCUUGUUGAAUUGCAGAAUCACAGCCUCUCCCACCAGCUCUGAGCAUGCACAUCCCAGAUAUGGUUGGUGUAGAGCACAGGAUUUUGGAGGGAGCUGGCGCUCCUAGCCCUGGCUGUGUGAAUGUCUUCUCUUCAGUGCACAUGAGUUUAUAAAAGGGGCUAAACAUUGUU